GAGGACUGGCAUCUCUCUUAUCCCUAUGUAUUUAACCAUCUUGACAAAAUAUACAUGAUGCCUGAGGGCAGUGCAAAGGGUGAACUUCGUCUUUAUCGAGCAGUUAAUUUUCCCUUGCAAUGGAAACUGGAGAAAAUCCUUAUGAAAAAGCCACUUGUUGAUUCCUUCAUCAUAAAACAUGAUGGAGAAUAUUGGCUUUUUGGUUCAGAUCACAGUGGUUUUGGAACAAAGAAAAAUGGACAACUGGAAAUCUGGCAUAGCAGUUCUCCUCUUGGUCCUUGGAAACCACACAAGAAGAAUCCAAUUCAUAAUGUUGACAAAAGCUUGGGAGCUAGAAAUGGA
rnacentral:misc_RNA from 1 species